rnacentral:rRNA from 1 species
AGUGAACGCUGGCGGUAGGCCUAACACAUGCAAGUCGAACGGCAGCACAGUAAGAGCUUGCUCUUACGGGUGGCGAGUGGCGGACGGGUGAGGAAUACAUCGGAAUCUACUUUUUCGUGGGGGAUAACGUAGGGAAACUUACGCUAAUACCGCAUACGACCUACGGGUGAAAGCAGGGGAUCUUCGGACCUUGCGCGAUUGAAUGAGCCGAUGUCGGAUUAGCUAGUUGGCGGGGUAAAGGCCCACCAAGGCGACGAUCCGUAGCAGGUAUGAAAGAAUGAUCAGCCACACUGGAACUUAGACACGGUCCAGACUCCUACGUGAGGCAGCAGUGGGGAAUAUUGGACAAUGGGCGCAGGCCUGAUCCAGCCAUACCGCGUGAGUGAAGAAGGCCUUCGGGUUGUAAAGCCCUUUUGUUGGGAAAGAAAAGCAGCAGGUUAAUACCCCGCUGUUCUGACGGUACCCAAAGAAUAAGCACCGGCUAACUUCGUG